rnacentral:rRNA from 1 species
UACGGGGGGGGCAAGCGUUGUUCGGAAUUACUGGGCGUAAAGGGCUCGUAGGCGGCCAACUAAGUCAGACGUGAAAUCCCUCGGCUCAACCGUGGAGGGUCAUUGGAAACUGGAGGACUUGAGUGCAGAAGAGGAAAGUGGAAUUCCAAGUGUAGCGGUGAAAUGCGUAGAGAUUUGGAGGAACACCAGUGGCGAAGGCGACUUUCUGGUCUGUAACUGACGCUGAGGCGCGAAAGCGUGGGGAGCAAACAGG